CAGAACCCAGGGCAGCCCCUCGUCCGUCCUGUAGGCUGACAACCAGAGGAUCGAUAUUACAACGGGCAACGACACCCUGUACAUCAUGAGCAUGUGGUCUUUAACCAGCACAAUACCGCUCCCUGGUGGCGAGUUCAGAUGGUCCCAUACCUGCUGCCAGCGCCUCCUGCCUGGUCUCCUCACCCCCCCUGACAGUGGAUGUUUUCAUUCCUCCCGACCAGCCUUCCUCAUUUCCUACAGGGAGAGAAGCUGUCAUUCGUCAAUCGGGAGCGAGGCAAGGGUACAAUAGCAUGAGCCAGAGCCCGGCUGUGAGCCCACCCCUCUCAGAGUCUGCUGAUAAGGUCUUCGUCUGCUUUUCCGGGAACAACAGAGGAGCUAUAAGCUAUUCGCUUUUACAGUUUGGCGUUGUUGGUGAUGGAAGUAUUUUGUCUUGUUUGAUGAUGUAAAAAAGAAUAAAACAGAAACUUGUAUGGUGCAGUCAA